CAGGGGCCUUGUCCAGCCUCCCCCCGGCCCCUUCAGCUGGAAGAGGAAGGCGCUGGGGGUGCUGGGGAAGGAACCCAGGAGUCCAGGUGUCCGGGCCUCGUGCCCCUGCACUGCCUCGCCCCAGCCCCCUUGCCCCGGGGACAAAGUGUCUCGGCCCGUCACUCCCAGGAACCGGUUUGUCGGCUGCGCCAGGCGGGUCUCGGGGCUGCGGGAAGUCCCGAGGCCCCGCUGGGGCACAGCUCGGGGAGCAGCGCGCUCCAGCCGGGAUCCCCGAGUCGGGCGGGCAUGACCCGGGGGUCCCCUGGGGCUCUGCUGCCCCAUCCCUGCUCCACCCCAGAGGCGGCUGCACGGGCUUGGCCCGAGGUCAAGCCAGCAGCCUGUGAGCUGCUCCGGGUCACGGAGCUCCUAUCCCGCCGCCCUGCAGACUGGCUUCACCUCUAGCGACAAACAAGAAGGGAGGUGAACAUGAACUCAGGGGUGGAAAUCGCUUCCAGCAACACACUGGAAGCACCGCCCACGGCUCGGGAAGGCUCCAUCUUGUUUUAUGAGUCGGAAAGAGACGUCCAUUUACUUCUAACGAUGACAGGACUAAAGCAGCAGCAGCAGCAGCUCGGGAUCACUUGUGCCUCGUUUGUGCCCAUGUCCCUGACCCCCCGGCUCGCGGCUCUACCCCAGUGACCACCCGUGUCUCAGUCCCUUACAGCCCUCGGCAUCCUGAGUCUAGUCUGGACCGUGCCUGCUCCGGACCCUGCGUUGUGACCUGAGCAUUUACUGACAUUUCCUAGCAGCAGGACAUGGUGGCCGCAGCCCCCUGCUCUCCCAGGGGCACGGGCAGGGGCGGGGGUGAUGCGUGGAGCUGUGUUGGGGUGAUUGUCAUGCUGGACACAGGGCUUGUCUGGCCUGGUUUGGACAGGGCUGAUCCUGCCCCAGGCAGGGCUUGAACUGGAUGCGGCCCAUGGAGGUCCCUGUCAGCCCCGUGUCUGUAGGAGUCUGCGAGAUGCUCAGAGAUUGGUUGUUACGGAACCUGUUCCAGGCACUGACGUUGGCCCGUGACUCUCCUUGUCCCUAUGUUUCGACCAGCGCCGUAUUCAACUGUUGGCUACAAAUGUCCAACUCGGGAUCCUUAAAAUCCUAGUUUAUUAAGCAGA